GGAAAGCAGAGAAGAGUAAUGUUGCAGCGGUCAUGUAGCAAUGGUGGUGUGAUGGGUGUUCUUUGGAUAAUUAAAAUCUGGGAAGAAAAAGAACCUAUCUUCAGAAGAAGUUGUCUUCGUUUUUGAAAUGAUUGAAGCUACUCCUAUUCCCUUGUGCAAAGAAAGUGGUUAAUUCUCUCCCAGGAUAAUGAGGUGAAUCAGUCAACCAAGGAGGCAGCUGAGGGCCAGAGCCAUUGCAAGGGGAGCGGUGGGUGAGCGUGGAACAACAAGGAGGCAGGAAGGCCCGUGCAGCAGCACAGAGAGGGGAGCUUCUCUUCACCAUCGCUGACCCUCAUCUUCACUCGGCUCCUCUUCUGAACUGCUCUCCAGUGGGUGCCUGAGGAGCCUGUGAUGAUCAGCUUCUUGUCACUGCAAAUUUACUACCAGCAUUUCUCAUCAGUACCUAGGGCAGGUGAGGUAAGAACAGUUUGAACUCUCAAGAACAUGCCAACAUAAGCAAGACCAUAAGGAGCAGAUCCUUAUCUCUCAGUGAACAGAUCAUACCUACGCUUGAAUCCCGAGUCACAAAGCUCUAAGCUAGCUGUCUCAGAUGCUGAUAGCAACAGAGCUACGAAACGUGCUCUGGUCUGCAAAACCCACCCAAGGCUUUGAGUAAAUAUUUGUGCAGCUACCUGUCUGGUCUCCAUAUGGUUACCAGUAUGUCUGCUGAUAUUUGUGUAUGAGCUGCAGUCAAAGCCCUAAGGCUGAAGUACAGAUAUAUCCUUCUACAACAGCUUAUAAAAAGAAGCUCUGUUAUAUUUGCCCUUCAUGUUUUCCUCAUUCUCUUUUCCUUGUACUGUUUUACUUUCAUAAAACAAAACAAACAGGAACCACAGGAAAACUCCUACCCAUGAGUCUAGUUACCCACCUUCAAUAACUCACUAAAAAAAGGGGAAAAAGGGAUGAAAGAGAAGAGGAAGGCUGGUUAAGACCACGCUCUUAUUGGACUGUCUUUUCCUCCAGAUCUAUUCCUUCCUUGUUAUUAGUAUUUUCUAAAUUAGGGUACAGCCACUGCUCAUGUGGAAAAGAGUUUAUUUACAAGGAGGAAAAGGCUGUUGCUGACAUGAAACGUGCUGUUGCUUGAUUGCUUCCAUUGCUGGGAAAGCAGAGCUGGCUCGGAGCUAGACAGCCAGAUAAGCCAGAUUCACAGGAAGGAGGCGAGGGGCUGGAAAGGAGCCAACGAGAUAGUAUGACAUGGCAGGUACAAAAAGACACUUGAUCCGAGUGGGAGUCAGCUCCGGCAGGCAAGCUGUUGUGAGGAGUGACGGUGAGUACGUUAAUAACAAAUGACAGCCUUUGAAGUUGGCCUAGUGGUGGACAGACAGUUGCCAAACAGGGGCUCCUCCUGUAGUGCAAAGCUUUGGAAGGAGUACACUGCGAUUCAGAUGGGUGAGGGGGAGCACGAAGUGAAGAGCAAAGCUGGUCGUGAUAAAUGAGUCCUGGAGGAUUCGUGGCAGCCUAAUGGGGAACAUACGCAACGCACCCUGUUUAUGAGUGAAGACCAGGAGGCCUACACAUGUCAGGAACCAAAAGCUGGCUUCUGUUCUGGGGGAGGAGGAGGAAAGCAUCGAGCAGCUGUGAGGAAAUCAAGCCACAGCUAUUGGAGUUUAAGGGAAGCUUUACUGGUGAGCAUACAACUGGCCUGGCUUUUCAUUCAGUUACUUUGACAUCAAUGCAGUCAUGUCAACAACAAAUGAAUCGAACGUGGUGUCUCUCAGGAUCUUUCCAAGCAAAUUCCAGCUUGCUGGGCAUGAAAACCAGCUGAAGAACAGCACAGAAAAAUGGCAACAAGGAAAAGCAUGAGUUUUGUUUAGUAACAGGAGGAAUAAGGUUCUGGCACAUGAGGAAACACCAAAAGAACUUAGGUGUACGUAGGCUAACAUGUAAAACAGAGACUUAAAAACUUAAAAACUGCUUCCUUGGCCUGUAAGGACUGAUCCAAGUGCACUUAAGGGUGUGAAAGAUCCAGAUAAAGAAUCAGUGUUAGAGUAUAGGUGGGGAACAAGAAGAUGAAAUAGAUAAAAUUUGAGUGUGGAAGUGAAUUUAACAACAUCACCUAAAACAGACACUUCAGCAGCACAAGCUGCUGGAGAGAUAUACCAAGAUGUCCAGAUGAUAUUAGUUUAAAAAUGAUGUAAUUGUACCAUUGUUUUAUCUGUCAGUUCUCUACCAUCUGUUGUACAUUUGCAAUGCAUUUUCAGAGCAAAUCUUUUCUUCUUUUGUCAAAUAAAAGACUCAAACUGAGGAAAGAAAACUGAGUCCUCAGGGAGCCUGUACAAUGGAUGGUAUGAAAUGUUUUAGACUUUUACAACACCUUAAAAAAAAAAAGAUUUGGAUAGCACGUGCAGUCUGAAUUAGAGAACACUGGUUCCAUUUUCUUGCUUUGCAAUUGAAGAAAUAAACUAUGUUAAGCUCACUUUCUUUUGACCCAGUGUUCUCGUCCUAAUCACAAAAGUGUAUGUCACCCUAAACCUCACUGGUUUUGGAGUUCAAGCGAUCCUUAAUCCUGCCUCAGUUGUGAGGAGGCAACUGCAAAAUGUUGGAACUUAAAUUCAUCCUUCAAGCACUCUUGGGUCUUCAGAGCAAGGUGGCUCCAGUGGCGUUUGUGUUCUCUCAUCAAGGAGCAGACUUCAGAAAAAAAUCUGUCUGAAAAACAAUUGCCCAUCUAAUAAUGCAAGAGAAAAUAGGUAUAGAAAGGGCAGAAACAGUUCAAAGACAGAUGGACAGUGCAAGAGGAUGGUUUCAAACGGCCUCAGCUAGUCUUUGACCUGUCCUUUGCAGUAUUGCAGAUUGGAUUUCCAUGUGCCCCCCAUACUUGUUCUGGAGCUCUAAGAGUUAUACUGAGACGAUAUGAUGACUGCAGCUUUACAGCUAUCUAUACUUAAUGUGCACGUUAAGGAAGACAAAAGCCAAUUUAUUUCUAACAUCACUUCUCUCAGCGCCUCUAAUGUUUCUGCUUCUGAAUCAAAGGGAGGCAUUCUACAGUAGGACAUAAAUAAAUAGCUUUUCCUUGGGGGAAGAAGCAUUUUCCCAUCUUAAAGAAAUUUCUUUGGCCAUGUGAAAUUCAAAUUUGUUAACUUGCCCUACAAACAGCAACUCAUUUAGAAACAAAUUACAAAUAUUAGAUGGAGACAGUGAACUUGAUAAUGCAAUGCUGCCACAUCAGUUGUAGAAUAAUGCAUCUUAAUGAAGGCUUCCCAUGUGAAUAAACCAUUAUAUUUACAAGCUUUUCACAGUUAAUGACCCAGAACUGGAUAACGAAACUCACAUUUUUAGUGUGGUCCUCUGUCAGCAAAAGUAUACAUAUUAAUAAUUGAUGUUGCUGUAAAAAUAGGGCAUAAUAGGAAGAUUCCUGAGUUUGUGGGAAAAUAGGACUACAUGGUCCAUUAACUUAAAAUGCUUAUCUAAUGUUUGAUGGGCUUUGUCUUUAAAAUCCUUGUUUAAAUUAAUAAGGCAAAAUGGACAUUUGUCUAAAAGAGAAUUUUGUUCCAACUCAUCAGUCACAAGCAUGCUGAUGAGAGAGCUGUUUGAUCUUCUGCUCUUUUCUGCUCCCCCUAUCCUCCCCAAAGAGAGUUGAGGUUUUACCAAAGUGGGAGACCCACCAGUAGAAGGAAGGAGAAGUUCCCUACGCAUUCCAGAGGCAGAAUCAGCGCACAAAACUCUGGUUACCUGUGCUGGCCGUGUUUACUGUUAAUGACUAGCAGAUAUUAAAGGUACAUUUGCUUCAUGAAUACUGCUCGACGACGACCCUGGCGAGCCCGCUCUGCGACCUGGAUCAUUUUAACGGCUUCUUCAAAUGUCAUGGCCUUGACAGUAUUUCAGGAACAUCCAGACAUCUGAAGCAAAUGAUUCACCCUGAAGGACAGAAGAAGGGAUGAGGGGAAACAGGCAGUUAUCCUGCCACGCUACUACUCAUCAGGAGUUGCAAAAUCAAGUUCCACAAUAAUGUCCCCAGGUCCUUUUGCCCAGAGAGAUUGACAGGUUCGUUCCCACUCUGUAAUGGCCGGGUUGUGAGCUACGCACGUGCCUGAGGACGAUAUUGCACCAGAGAUGGAUUAGAGCAUCCGACUAGCCUGCUAGUGCUGGCUUACCCCUGUGUGGCUUCUCCUGGACUCCUUCUGAGGCCCGUUCUGCUGAGGCAGAGCUGAAGAAACUUAGAGAUGAGGCACAGCCUCUUUCAGGAUCAGCAGUUUGCAGAGCGUACCUCGAAUCCCAGAAGACGCUAGAGCUACCCACAGUCCAUGAGAAACAUCGCCUUAAAAAAUCCUUCGCACGGCCAGCUCGGAGGAAAUGCAACUGGUGACUGUGAAAGUGCAAUAAAACAUUUGUAAAUACCCAGGAAUGAGGGUCCUUACAGAUGGCACUGACAUGCACUAGGCCCUUGCAUCAUCUGGAGGAAGGAAAAGAAGAAGAUAGGAAUGACAAGUCUAAGGCUUUCCUGAGCCUAUGUGACAGGGAUGUAAAUGCUGGUUGAAAUCUUAGAAGUGCGUGCUUUCCUUGAGUGGGAAGGCCAAGAGAUUGCUGCUCAUUGUUCUGAAGCAACGGUUUGUUGGCUCCAGAUGUUUGCCUGCGUGUCCCUGCUAACCACACACCUGCCUGUGCUAACAAGUACUUUGUGCCCGAGUCCUGAAGAAUAAAACAAAAUGCUUGUCUCGAAAACCAGGAAAGCCCCAAGUGCACGCCUAACGUCUCUUUCACAAGACCAAUCAUCCUUGAUGUGUGGGCCUCUCUCCUGAACAAUUAGCUGCUCCGUGAAGAUCUUGCAGACCUGUUGGAAGUGCCUUUUGACCCUGCUUUCAUUCAUCUGGCCAUUAAUAGCUUGCUCAGGGAUCCCGAGGAUUUAAACUCACCAGCAGAAAUUGCAGCUGGGCUGGUCGCUAUCCUGCUGCUCGCAGCUCUGUCUCCUGCCUUCGUGUCGUAAUUCAUAAAUAACUCUCUCCCUUCCUUCCCCUGCUUCUGGAGCCAGUUGUGGGUGUGUGCUGAUUGCACUGUUGUGGUUGACAUCAGCAUCCCCGCUCUCUUCAUUGCAGCCUAGCUUAAAAAAACAAAUGUCUCUCUUCUUCGUGUCAAGAACGUGAUUAACUCCUCCUGUUUCUGUGCAAGCAACAUGACAGGCCCGUGCAAGAAAAAAAAAAAGCAAUCAACUUGGAGAAGCUGCGUCUGUUCUCCUUUGGCUGGACUGCAUUUCUCAGGCUACAACAGGGAUGCCAAUGAAGCAAUGUCUCUCCUGGGAGAGAGUUGGCUGAAUCAUGUUAACGGAGCUCCAGCAGAAAGCUUCACCAGCAAAGGGUGGGGAAUAGCAGUGAUCUAGACCAAAUGACGACUUGAACUCGCAUUAAGAUUAAGUAGUUGUUCCUUCAUAUUUUUAUUUUUUUCUGCUGGAAAAUUGAAAUAAUUCCAUGACACCCGACAUUUUUUCUUCAAAAAAGUCAGUGUUUUUUUUAUUUCUAUCCAAAGCCUGUCUGUUGGAAAGCUCCCCACCAGCUCUAUUGGUGGGCCAGGGUGUUUUCCACGGUUAGCCUGAAGUUUCCAUUAGGCAAUGGAAGGCAAUUUUCUUUUUCUUUCUCUCUCUUUUUUUUUUCCUUUUUCUUUUUUUUUUUUUUUUUUUUCUUUUAAAGGCAGACAAGCAGAUCAACUGUUGGUGAGAACUUUAGUACCUGAUUUGUCCCUAUAAAAUUUUCUACAACGUGAAAGAACUUUUCCAAAGCUAUCUGCAACCUGCUUUUAAAGUUGAAUUUUGUCUAAUGCCACGAGGAGGAGUUAAUAGAUGGCUUAGGAGCUAGUUUCAGUUUGGGUUCCUAAUUGAAUCUUAGUUUCUUUCAGAUGAGUUGUUAAAUUUAUCCCAUGACCCUGUAAAUAUAAUCUGCCUUUCCAUCCCUUAAAUAGCCACCAUCUCCUUUCAAACAUGAUUUUGCAUUCACCUUCCUGGCGUCCAGUUUCAAGUAAAUAUUUUAAUCUCAGAGGAGCUUGGUUCUCUGCUUUCCACCCUCCUGGAUUUUCUGAGGAGAGCAAGGUCUCCACUGAUUUGUGCCGGUAGCCUUGAGAUCAGCUCCAAACAUAUUUCUUGCCUUUCAUUGGAAAGCUGUUCUGGUGGAGAACAACUUUUUGGCUAUUUAAGAGUGGAAGGGAGCCUCAAGGAAUCUGCUUUUUCUCUUUAGCGAGUGCCAGUAAUAUCACACUUGGAAAGCAGUUGCUUUUUUUUUUUUUUCUUUCUUUUCUGCCUUGUGAACUCAGUGCAAGGGAAGGGUGCUGGGGUGGACCCUGGGAGCAGAAGAUCCUGCCAUUCCCAUGGGUGACCUCUGGCUCUCCAGGACAUUUUGUGCCUUCCUUCCCCAGGGCACCACAACCUCGGCUCACGUUCUGUGGGUGACUUCAUACUGACAUGGGGAUGAAACAAUACCAAAAUUUGCAUCAAUACCAAAAGAUGAGAUUUUACUUGCAUUUUUAAAGCUCUUGGCAGAAUCUUUGGUCCAAGUCUGGCUGGUAGCAUGUCAGCAUGUGCUGGGAAAGCUUGUAACAGAGCUUGUAACUUUUAAUUUUUUCUUUGAGGGAAUGCUUGUCUUUCACCACUUCGCUAGGCGUUCCUUCACGUGCUCUGAAAUGUGAUUAUUUGUGAGGUAGUGUUUUUUUUUUUUCUUUUUCUCUCCCCCAUCCUUAAUGACUACCCCUGUUUGCAUUUUAUUUUAUCCUAGUUCCUCUGGUUCAGACUCAUUUACCUUGGUGAGGAGAGAUGGAGAUAUAAUGGCUGCAGCUUUGAUUUGGAGACUGGAGCAUUGAAAGAACCAUUUAAUUUCUUCCAUAACAAACUCACAGUAUGGAAAUCAAUAAUUCUGCUCCUCUUCCAGUUAUUUUUAUUGGUGCUAGCUGUCAUGCCAUGCAGAAAAUGCUCAGAUACUCUGACUGCCUUGCACUGUGUACCUGAGCAGAGAAGGGGCAGGCAGCAGCUAAAAGACCGUGCAGGUUCCCUGACUUGCUGUGACCUCUAAUGAUGGGUGGAAAAUCUACAAAACCACUUUUCUUUGUGUUUUUGCCG